GCGGAAAUAGCUCAGUUGGUAGAGCACUAGCUUCCCAAGCUGGGGGUCGCGAGUUCGAGUCUCGUUUUCCGCU
rnacentral:tRNA from 3 species